rnacentral:rRNA from 1 species
GGCGGCGUGCCUAAUACAUGCAAGUCGAACGCACUCUCGUUUAGAUUGAAGGAGCUUGCUCCUGAUUGAUAAACAUUUGAGUGAGUGGCGGACGGGUGAGUAACACGUGGGUAACCUGCCCUAAAGUGGGGGAUAACAUUUGGAAACAGAUGCUAAUACCGCAUAAAACCUAACACCGCAUGGUGUAGGGUUGAAAGAUGGUUUCGGCUAUCACUUUAGGAUGGACCCGCGGUGCAUUAGUUAGUUGGUGAGGUAAAGGCUCACCAAGACCGUGAUGCAUAGCCGACCUGAGAGGGUAAUCGGCCACACUGGGACUGAGACACGGCCCAGACUCCUACGGGAGGCAGCAGUAGGGAAUCUUCCACAAUGGACGAAAGUCUGAUGGAGCAACGCCGCGUGAGUGAAGAAGGUUUCGGAUCGUAAACUCUGUUGUUGGAGAAGAAUGUAUCUGAUAGUAACUGAUCAGGUAGUGACGGUAUCCAACCAGAAAGCCACGGCUAACUACGUG